UUCAGAAGCUAUUUCAGCCUGCAGCUCACAACUGGCAACCCGCUGAAGCUCAGCAGCUGUGAGCCUUGGCAGUACCUGAAUGGGGGACCUCCUGGGAAAACCUAAGGUUGCUGCUGGAA
rnacentral:rRNA from 1 species